CAGCCGCCGCGGUAAUACGUAGGUCCCGAGCGUUGUCCGGAUUUAUUGGGCGUAAAGCGAGCGCAGGCGGUUAGAUAAGUCUGAAGUUAAAGGCUGUGGCUUAACCAUAGUGCGCUUUGGAAACUGUUUAACUUGAGUGCAAGAGGGGAGAGUGGAAUUCCAUGUGUAGCGGUGAAAUGCGUAGAUAUAUGGAGGAACACCGGUGGCGAAAGCGACUCUCUGGCUUGUAACUGACGCUGAGGCUCGAAAGCGUGGGGAGCAAACAGGAUUAGAUACCCCCGUAGUCCCUGUCUCUUAUACC
rnacentral:rRNA from 1 species